AUGUUGUGUCUAACCUGCUGGGAGAGUCAAAAUAUGUGCUUUGUGUCAAGGGGGGAGGACAGCUGGAGAAGACAGAUACAGAGACACACAGAGCCAGAGUUGUCUGUCAGGGGGGGGGGGGGGGGGGGGGGACACAGCUGGAGAAGACAGAUACAGAGACACACAGAGCCAGAGUUGUCUGUCAGGGGGGGGGGACAGCUGGAGAAGACGGAUACAGAGACACACAGAGCCAGAGUUGUCUGUCAGGGGGGGGGACAGCUGGAGAAGACGGAUACAGAGACACACAGAGCCAGAGUUGUCUGUCGGGGGGGGGGGACGGGACAGCUGGAGAAGACAGAUACAGAGACACACAGAGCCAGAGUUGUCUGUCAGGGGGGGGGGGGGGGGGGGGAACAGCUGGAGAAGACGGAUACAGAGACACACAGAGCCAGAGUUGUCUGUCAGGGGGGGGGGGGGGGGGCAGCUGGAGAAGACGGAUACAGAGAGACACAGAGCCAGAGUUGUCUGUCGGGGGGGGGGGGGGGACAGCUGGAGAAGACGGAUACAGAGACACACAGAGCCAGAGUUGUCUGUCAGGGGGGGGGGGGGGGGGGGGGACAGCUGGAGAAGACGGAUACAGAGACACACAGAGCCAGAGUUGUCUGUCGGGGGGGGGGACAGCUGGAGAAGACGGAUACAGAGACACACAGAGCCAGAGGUGUCUGUUUUUACUGGAUUAAUGAAGCAUCAUUUCAACACCACGAGAACAGUCAGAUUACAACCAGGAAUGGCAGACGGAGGAAUGGCAGACGGAGGAACGGCAGACGGAGGAUUGGCAGACGGAGGAAUGGCAGACGGAGGAAUGGCAGACGGAGGAAUGGCAGACGGAGGAGUGGCAGACGGAGGAAUGGCAGACGGAGGAAUGGCAGACGGAGGAGUGGCAGACGGAGGAGUGGCAGACGGAGGAGUGGCAGACAGAGGAGUGGCAGACAGAGGAGUGGCAGACAGAGGAGUGGCAGACAGAGGAAUGGCAGACAGAGGAAUGGCAGACAGAGGAAUGGCAGACAGAGGAAUGGCAGACAGAGGAAUGGCAGACAGAGGAAUGGCAGACAGAGGAAUGGCAGACAGAGGAAUAGACAUCAUUCACGCUGUACCACAUCAACAAGGCUGGAAUAA
rnacentral:lncRNA from 1 species